rnacentral:rRNA from 1 species
AGUGAACGCUGGCGGUGUGCCUAACACAUGCAAGUCGAACGAGUGGCGGACGGGUGAGAAAUACAUCGGAAUCUCCUCUGUCGUGGGGGAUAACGUCGGAAAACUUACGCUAAUCCCGCAUACGAUGGGAUUGGCCGAUGUCGGCUUAGCUAGUUGGGGGGGUAAAGGCCCACCAAGGCGACGAUCCGUAGCUGGUCUGAGAGGAGGAUCAGCGACACUGGAACUGAGACACGGUCCAGACGCCUACGGGAGGCAGCAGUGGGGAAUAUUGCACAAUGGGCGAAAGCCUGAUGCAGCCAUGCCGCGUGUAUGAAGAAGGCUUUCGGGUUGUAAAGUACUUUCAGCGGGGAGGCGUUACCCGCAGAAGAAGCACCGGCUAACUCCGUGCCAGCAGCCGCGGUAAUUC